rnacentral:rRNA from 1 species
AUAGUGGCGAACGGGUGAGUAACGCGUAGACAACCUGCCUUCUAGAUGGGGACAACGUUCCGAAAGGGACGCUAAUACCGAAUGUCCUGUCAAGUCCGCAUGGACUGGACAGCAAAGAUGGCCUCUGCAUAUGCUAUCGCUAGAAGAUGGGUCUGCGUCUGAUUAGCUGGUUGGUGAGGUAACGGCUCACCAAGGCGACGAUCAGUAGCCGGUCUGAGAGGAUGAACGGCCACACUGGGACUGAGACACGGCCCAGACUCCUACGGGAGGCAGCAGUGGGGAAUCUUCCGCAAUGGACGAAAGUCUGACGGAGCAACGCCGCGUGAGUGAAGAAGGUUUUCGGACCGUAAAACUCUGUCUUUUAGGGCGAACGUAUUGCUGGUGAACAAUCAGCGAUAGUGACGGUACUAAAGGAGGAAGCCACGGCUAACUACGUGCCAGCAGCCGCGGUAAUACGUAGGUGGCGAGCGUUGUCCGGAAUUAUUGGGCGUAAAGCGCGCGUAGGCGGGAUAGUCAGUCUGUUGUAAAAGUGCGGGGCUCAACCCCGUAAGGUCAAUGGAAACUGCUAUUCUUGAGUGCA